rnacentral:rRNA from 1 species
GAUGAACGCUGGCGGCGUGCUUAACACAUGCAAGUCGAACGAAGCACUUUAUUUGAUUUCCUUCGGGACUGAUUAUUUUGUGACUGAGUGGCUGACGGGUGAGUAACGCGUGGGUAACCUGCCUUGUACAGGGGGAUAACAGUUGGAAACGGCUGCUAAUACCGCAUAAGCGCCCAGCAUCGCAUGAUGCAGUGUGAAAAACUCCGGUGGUAUAAGAUGGACUCGCGUUGGAUUAGCUAGUUGGUGAGGUAACGGCCCACCAAGGCGACGAUCCAUAGCCGACCUGAGAGCGUGACCGGCCACAUUGGGACUGAGACACGUCCCAAACUCCUACGGGAAGCAGCAGUGGGGAAUAUUGCACAAUGGACGAAAGCCUGAUGCAGCGACGCCGCGUGAGCGAAGAAGUAUUUCGGUAUGUAAAGCUCUCUCAGCAGGCAAGAUCAUGACGGUACCUGACUAAGGAGCACCGGCUAAAUACGUG